GAAUGGGAUCUACAAAUGUAUGGAAGCAGGACUGAGCAUUUGAAACUGGUCUUAUCUUUUCCAGAAGAGAAGAAGAAAUUGAUCAGAGAUUUUGAUGAAAAGCAACAAGAAGCAAAUGAAACGCUGGCAGAGAUGGAAGAGGAACUACGUUAUGCACCCCUGUCUUUUCGUAACCCUAUGAUGUCUAAGCUUCGAAACUACCGGAAGGACCUUGCCAAACUCCACAGGGAAGUAAGAAGCACGCCUUUGACAGCCACACCCGGGGGUCGAGGAGACAUGAAAUAUGGCACAUACACUGUAGAGAAUGAGCAUUUGAAUCAGCUACAGUCUCAGAGGGUAUUGCUUUUGCAAGGCACUGACAGCCUGAACCGGGCCACCCAGAGUAUUGAGCGUUCUCAUCGGAUUGCCACAGAAACUGACCAGAUUGGCUCGGAAAUUAUAGAAGAGCUGGGGGAGCAACGUGACCAGUUGGAACGUACCAAAAAUAGACUGGUAAACACAAAUGAAAACUUGAGCAAAAGUCGAAAGAUUCUUCGGUCAAUGUCCAGAAAAGUGACAACCAACAAGCUGCUACUUUCCAUUAUCAUCUUACUGGAGUUAGCCAUCCUGGGAGGCCUGGUUUAUUACAAAUUCUUUCGCAAGCAUUGAACUUCCUGCACGGAAGGGUUUGUGGACCAGAACUUUGACCCUGAGAAUGAAUAGUGUUACAGAUGUGGAAUAAGUGUAUUGCUGCUGUGAGCUAACGGUUCAAGGAUGCACUGUGUAGCCAGACUGUGGGAAGAGGGAGGGAAGAUGGAAAACCAGUUAAUGUGAAGAAACAGCAACAAGACCACUGUGAUAUAACAAGGAAGUUGGUCAUAGACAUUGUGCCCUCCUUCCCUUGUCUGACCAAAACUUGAAGCAAUCACAUCCACUGCCAGGCCAGCUGUAGCCUUGGCUUCUUCGUCUGAAGCAGCCAACUGAGGAUUAACUUCAACGAGAUCCAGUGCUGACAGCAACCCUAAAAGAACAAAGUGUGACAAAACCUCAGAAAAUCCCUUAGCUGCUGCUUUCAGUGAGGGUCGUACCACCUGGACAGAAUAAACCAAGGUCUUGCCAUUGUUGACAACACAGUCGUGGGACGGGCAGAUUUUGAAUGGCAGUACCUACACUUGGAUGCUUCUACUUCCACGUCCUUGUUUAUCUCAGCACCUCCUUAAACCGCAUCAAGCAUUCAGAAGGCACUGUAGGACAGAAUGAACCUGAAACUGCAAGGAAGCUCGUAUGACAAACAGAUUUGGAACCAACUUGAACGGGCUCUGCUGUUUGACAUGCAGUGACAAGCAAAGCUCUGCACAGACUGACAGCCUCAGUGCUCCUCUCCCAGUGCCGGUUAUAAAACAUACGCCGAAUACUAUUAAGAUCUUUUAGGCCCAGGUGUCACCUUUGGCCCUGAUAAACAUCUCCAGGCUCCACUGGAGUGAAACAAGAACACAAGUGCAUCAACAGAAUGAUGCAACCAUCUGCUAGGGAAGAAAUCAAAACAGCCCUACCUGACCUUAGCAGUGUCUGCAGACAGCACUUCUAUUUAGGGUCCUGAUCACUAGGGAAUCCCUGCGAGAAGCCAGGGACAGGAAAGGAGAAAAAGGAGUAUAAGAAUCUGCCUCCACACACCACACUCCGCUAGCUGCUUUACAGGUAGCUGCUAAUCUUCACACCCUCAUGGGUUUCACAUACUUCAGAGGGAGAAAUUCAGCAGUUAAACAGCUCCAACUGUUUAGAGCCAGCCUGAGUCACCCUUUGGAUGGAGACUCAUAGAAGACAAUGUUACAAGCGAGCAGGCAUUUGUCAACAGCAUCAAGAUAACUCAUUUUCCCUCCUGCUGACUUCCACUCAUGGGGAACUCCAGCUGCUCCCAAGGCUCCCAGCAAGUGGAGAGAGAUGGGCUGACACGGAUAAUCCCCCGAGCCCCAUGGGCAGAAUAGUGGAUUUGGAGGAAAGCUCAGGGCCCAACAGUGUGCAGUUUUUUUGUUGUUUUUUUUUCAGGCUGUGCCUGAAAUAGAAUAGAGUGUUUAUGACUUGUCAGGAAUAACAAGUCAGUAAAACCUGGAGAAAAACAAAGAUGCUGAGAUCUCACUUGGUGCUGAGAGAGUACUAAUCCUAAUGGCUUUUACAAUUACAGACUCAAACACUCUGUAAGGCGGAUCUAGCUCCAUGCAAAGGGAAUUCUAGCAUUUUAAAGGACUGCUCCUGCUAAUUCUUAGAACCCCAAAGCUGUGCCUGGAAAACCAGUUCAUUGAAAACAAAGCUG